AGAGUUUGAUCCUGGCUCAGGAUGAACGCUAGCGGCAGGCUUAAUACAUGCAAGUCGAGGGGCAGCGGGGGUAGCAAUACCUGCCGGCGACCGGCAAACGGGUGCGGAACACGUACGCAACCUUCCCAGAACAGGUGAAUAGCCCUCCGAAAGGAGGAUUAAUACACCGUACCAUAAUGAGGUGGCAUCACUUUAUUAUUAUAGAUAGCAAUAUCGGUUCUGGAUGGGCGUGCGGCUGAUUAGGUAGUUGGCGGGGUAACGGCCCACCAAGCCUCCGAUCAGUAACUGGUGUGAGAGCACGACCAGUCACACGGGCACUGAGACACGGGCCCGACUCCUACGGGAGGCAGCAGUAAGGAAUAUUGGUCAAUGGACGCAAGUCUGAACCAGCCAUGCCGCGUGAAGGAUGAAGGCCCUCUGGGUUGUAAACUUCUUUUAUCUGGGACGAAAAAAGGGGAUUCUUCCUCACUUGACGGUACCAGAGGAAUAAGCACCGGCUAACUCCGUGCCAGCAGCCGCGGUAAUACGGAGGGUGCAAGCGUUAUCCGGAUUUACUGGGUUUAAAGGGUGCGUAGGUGGGCAGGAAAGUCAGUGGUGAAAUCUUCAAGCUUAACUUGGAAACUGCCAUUGAUACUAUUUGUCUUGAAUUAUCUGGAGGUAAGCGGAAUAUGUCAUGUAGGCGGGAAAUGCUUAGAUAUGACCAUAGAACACCCAUUGCGAAGGCAGUUACUACGGAUAUAUUGACACUGAAGA
rnacentral:rRNA from 1 species